AUGAACGCUGGCGGCGUGCUUCACCCCUGCAAGUCGAACGAUGAAGCCCAGCUUGCUGGGUGGAUUAGUGGCGAACGGGUGAGUAACACGUGAGUAACCUGCCCUUGACUCUGGGAUAAGCCUGGGAAACUGGGUCUAAUACUGGAUAUGACUUCUCAUCGCAUGGUGGGGGGUGGAAAGAUUUAUUGGUCUUGGAUGGACUCGCGGCCUAUCAGCUUGUUGGUGAGGUAAUGGCUCACCAAGGCGACGACGGGUAGCCGGCCUGAGAGGGUGACCGGCCACACUGGGACUGAGACACGGCCCAGACUCCUACGGGAGGCAGCAGUGGGGAAUAUUGCACAAUGGGCGCAAGCCUGAUGCAGCGACGCCGCGUGAGGGAUGACGGCCUUCGGGUUGUAAACCUCUUUCAGUAGGGAAGAAGCGAGAGUGACGGUACCUGCAGAAGAAGCGCCGGCUAACUACGUG
rnacentral:rRNA from 1 species